UGGGGAUAUUGCACAAUGGGGAAACCCUGAUGCAGCGACGCCGCGUGGGUGAAGGAGCACUUCGGUGCGUAAAGCCCUAUCGGCAGGGAAGAAAAGGGGGAAACCCCAGACGGUACCUGACUAAGAAGCCCCGGCUAACUACGUGCC
rnacentral:rRNA from 1 species